rnacentral:lncRNA from 1 species
GUUCAAGACUAUCAAUUAAUUAGGGAUAGGGUAAGAAGACAACCUAGACCUAAUCCUAGAUAUGAACUAUUAAAUUUGAUAGACUUUGCCUUAGUUUCUAGAGAAGAAAUAGAACAAGCUGAACUUACCUCUUACGAAGAAGCUAUUCAUGGGAAAAAUUCUUAAAAUUGGUUAAAGGCUAUGAAAGAAGAAAUGCAAUCCCUAAAUAAAAUUAAAACUUGAAAGCUUAUUAGAAAACCUAAGGAUCAUAGGGUAGUGCAGUGUAAAUGGGUUUACAAGCUUAAAGAGGGUAAUGGCCCAACUGAUCCUAUUAGGUUUAAGGCCAGACUAGUAGCAAAGGGAUAUAUUCAAAGAAGGAGUUGAUUACAAUGAGAUAUUCUCACCUGUAAUCAAAUAUAGAACUAUCAGGUUGAUAUUGGCCUUAGUUGCUCAAUAUAAUUGGGAACUUGAGCAACUUGAUGUGAAAACUGCAUUCUUACAUGGGGAGUUGGAAGAGGAUAUCUUCAUGAGUUACCCUCAAGGCUUUGAAGUUAAAAACAAAUCUGAAUAUGUUUGCAAACUGAAAAAAUCAUUGUAUGGGCUGAAACAAAGCCCUAGACAAUAGUAUAAAAGGUUUGAUGCAUAUGUGUUAAAGAUUAGGUUCAAAAGAAGUGAAUUUGAUGCUUGCUUAUAAUAUAACGAUAUGAAAAGUGGGGGGAAGUUUACUUACUACUGUAUGUGGAUGAUAGGUUAACCAUUACACAAGAAGCAUACUUAAAUAAAGUAGUGGCCAUAUUUGGUAUGAAAGAUAGUAAAGUGGUUAAUGUACCCCUUGCUUCCCACAUGAACCUAUCUAAGUCUCACUCCCCUAAAUUUAAAGAAGAGAUGAAGGAAAUGGAAAAUAAACCCUAUGCAAAUGCUAUAGGUUCUAUAAUGUUUUCCAUGAUAAUAACCAGACCCGAUCUUGCUUAUGCAAUCAGUUUCCUAAGUAGAUUUAUGUCCAAUCCUGGCAAGCCUCAUUGGGCUGGGAUGAAAUGGUUACUUAGGUAUAUUGUUGGUACAUUAAAUAUAGAAUUAGUGUAUGAGAAAAGAUCUAAAAAUUUAACUUUAAAAGGUUAUGGUGAUGCUAAUUUUGCUGGUGACAAAGACAGUAGAAAAUCCACUACAGCUUAUUUCUUUACUCUUGGGAAAGAUUGCAUAACUUGGAAACCACAAUUGCAAUCAUUGGUUACAUUAUCCAGCACAGAAGCUAAGUAUAUAGCCAUAACUGAAGCUUUGAAAGAAUGUACUUGGUUAAUGGGGAUUUUAAAAUAACUGAACUGUAUGAAUGAUACUCCUAUUAUAUAUACUGAUAGUCAUAGUGCUCCGUUACUUAGUAAAAAUCAUGUCUAUCAUGAAAGAUCAAAACACAUCGAGGUGAAGUAUCACUUUAUAAGAGAAAAAUUGUCUCAAGGUGAAGUUAAAUUGAUUAAAGUUCAUACUGAUAAAAAUCCUUCUGAUAUGGGAACCAAAGUUUUGCCUGUAAGUAAGUUUAAAACAUAUUUAUCCUUACUUAAUAUUGACACAGGUUAAUUUUCCUUUGCAGGUAUUAGGGCGAUGAUAAUGGACAGUUGUUCCAGGGCACUUUCAGCAACCAGAGAGCUAGUGUUAUUGAGAAUCAAUGUGAAGAAGAAUGUGAAAAGAGGUGUUUCUCAAAACACUCGAAAACGAGUGCUAUUUCUGUCAAUUGGGUUUUUCGGCUUACUUGGAAAAAAUCUGCCUAAUUGGCACUCAAUUAUUGGACACUUGAUACUCACUUAGAUUGUGCUAGUUGAGACUCCUUUUGGAUCAUUGGAUUAAAUGGAAGGCUGAGAUUGAUCCUUGGGAGGUGGACCGUCAUUUUCUACCCAAAAGUCCCGUGACUUUUGGUUUAUUCCAGAUUUUUUCUCCUUCUCUCUUCUGGGUCUCCCUCUCUACUUCGUCUUUGAGAUUUGAGUCUAAAAUUUUCUCUGUAAGGUUUCUAUGAUCUUGUGUUAUGGAGUUUGUAAUUUUAGUUAUUGAUCAGGCUUGACAGAGUGGCUAAUCUUGUAUUAUGAAACUCCUAAACAUUUGGUUGAUUUCGUGGGUUGUGUUUCAUGAGAUCUUGUAGAUCGGUAACUGAAACCUUGUGAUCUAAGUAGUUCUUGAUGUACUCUUACUCUCUUGGAAAGUAGAUUGUGCUAUAGUGGAACGGGUUGUCCCUGAGUCCCCCAGAUUAGGCCUAUUUCGACUGAACUGGGUCAAUAAUUUUUGGUGUUCUUGUGUUCCUUUUCUGUUCUUGUUGUGUGUUGUUGUUUUAUUGCAAGUCAUUUAAAGAAAAAUCAACUGUAAGUACUUUACACCAUCCACCCAUCCCACAUCACCUCAAUUAUCCACUAUCAAUAUGCCUCACACAAAAACACAAAUAAAA